GCGGCCUGUCUUCUAGAAAAAGCCAGUCCCCUUUGCUGCACAAAGCAAUAAAGACCAUUACUCCCCAGAAUCCUGGAGCCUGCCGGGCUGUUAUCUGCCUUCUGGCAUCCUGCAGUCACCUGGGGCCCCCCUGCCCGUAAAAUGCUCGUUGCCGUGGCCCAACAGCUCCUUGGGGACAGGCCACUGAAGACAGCAUCCCUACACCCUCGGUGCUCCCGUCCGAGCAGGCCUGGCGUGUUAGCUCUGACUGAAACCCACCGCAUUCCCGAGCCUCUGCUUCCCUCGCAGACCCCGGUGACAAACGAUCACAAAUGGAGUGACAACGCAAAUUUAUCACCUGACAGGCAGAGGUCAGAAAUCCAGAAUGGCCUCCCCGGGCUAAAAUCAAGGUGUCCGCAGGGCCUGUGCCUUCUGGAGCCUGUGGGGGAGCAUCCAUCGCCUGGAGAAGGUGACUCCAAAAGCCUCCCCUGCAGGAUGGCUUCAAAGCCAUCGCACGGCCCCUCCUGUCUGACGUCAGCCUCCCUCUUAUAAAGGCUCUGUGGUUACACUGGCCACCUGGGUGAUCCAGCUACUCUCCCAGCGCCAGGCUCCGUUAUCCACCUGCCCGCUCGACAAACUCCGUUUGGGACUCACGGCGGCUUCUGGCCUCAGACGGGGAGGAACGGAGGCUCUGACAACAGCCCACGAGGAACUGAAUCCUGCCGACAGCCGCUGCUUCUGCCUGGAAGUGGCUCCUGCCCCAGGAGAGCCACGAGAGGACUUUGGUCCCGGCUGACACCUUGGUCACAGCCCCGUGAGGAGCUCUGAGCAGAGGACCAGUUAUGCCGCUCCUGGAUUCCCACUUCACAGAAACAGUGAGAUAAUAAACAUGUGG
rnacentral:lncRNA from 1 species